GUUAAUUGAUUAUGACGUGCUUGCACUGAAUGAGAUUUUAACACGAAGUGAGUGGCGGACGGGUGAGUAACACGUGGGUAACCUGCCCAGAAGCAGGGGAUAACACCUGGAAACUGAUGCUAAUACCGUAUAACAGAGAAAACCGCCUGGUUUUCUUUUAAAAGAUGGCUCUGCUAUCACUUCUGGAUGGACCCGCGGCGCAUUAGCUAGGUGGUGAGGUAACGGCUCACCAAGGCGAUGAUGCGUAGCCGACCUGAGAGGGUAAUCGGCCACAUUGGGACUGAGACACGGCCCACACUCCUACGGGAGGCAGCAGUAGGGAAUCUUCCACAAUGGACGCAAGUCUGAUGGAGCAACGCCGCGUGAGUGAAGAAGGGUUUCGGCUCGUAAAGCUCUGUUGUUAAAGAAGAACGUGGGUGAGAGUAACUGUUCACCCAGUGACGGUAUUUAACCAGAAAGCCACGGCUAACUACGUGCCAGCAGCCGCGGUAAUACGUAGGUGGCAAGCGUUAUCCGGAUUUAGUGGGCGUAAAGCGAGCGCAGGCGGUCUUUUAAGUCUAAUGUGAAAGCCUUCGGCUCAACCGAAGAAGUGCAUUGGAAACUGGGAGACUUGAGUGCAGAAGAGGACAGUGGAACUCCAUGUGUAGCGGUGAAAUGCGUAAAUAUAUGGAAAGACACCACUGGUGAAGGCCGUUGUCUGGGUCUGUAAGUGACGGUGAGGUUCUAAAGCAGGGGUUGCGAACAGUGAUAAAUCCCCCGGUACCCCAGGCCAGUAAUUGUUAAUCCUUUGUGCUGGAGGG
rnacentral:rRNA from 1 species